rnacentral:rRNA from 1 species
GACGAACGCUGGCGGCGUGCUUAACACAUGCAAGUCGAACGGACAGGCCCUGCUCUUGUGGGGUGCUCGAGUGUCGAACGCGUGAGUAACACGCGAGUAACCUGCCCUUGACUUUGGGAUCACUUCAGGAAACUGGGGCUAAUACCGGAUAGGAGCUCCUGAUGCACGGUGGGGGUUGGCCAGUUUCGGCGGUUAGGGAUGGCCUCGCGGCUUCUCAGCUUGUCGGUGGGGUGGUGGCUUACCACGGCUUUGACGGGUAGCCGGCCUGAGAGGGUGGACGGCCACAUUGGGACUGAGAGACGGCCCAGACUCCUACGGGCGGCAGCAGUGGGGAAUUUUGCCCAAUGGGCGGAAGCCUGAUGCAGCAACGCCGCGUGCGGGAUGACGGCCUUCGGGUUGUAAACCGCUUUCGCCUGUGACGAGGCGUGAGUGACGGUAAUGGGUAAAGAAGCACCGGCUAACUACGUG